UUUUAAUAGAAAAUAAUUAUUAGUAAAAUCUGCUCAAUGAUAUUUCAAUAGCCGCAAUUUAUUUGUGCUAAGGUAGCAUAAUCACUUGUCUUUUAAUUAAAGACUAGAAUGAAAGAUUAUACAUUUUAAUCACUUCAUUAAUUUUAAUUUUCUAAAUUAUAUUAAACAUAAAAAUAUUUUUUUGAAAAAAAAAGACGACAAGACCCUAUAGAAUUUCACUUUAGUUAAACUGGGGCAGUUAAUUAAUUAAAAUUUUAAUUUAAAUUCACCUUUAAAUGACCCUUUAACAAAGAUUUCUUAAACAAAUUACCUUAGGGAUAACAGCGUAAUAAAUUUCUAAAGAUCUUAUUAAAAAAUUUGAUUACGACCUCGAUGUUGAAUAAUUAUCUAUAACACGAAAAAGUAUUAUAAGAAAGUCUGUUCGACUUUUAAUAUUUUACA
rnacentral:rRNA from 1 species